GUGCAUUUCUAAAAAUCUACAAUUUUUAUGCAGACUUUUUACGCCUCGAAACGUCAGUUGUUCUUGAAACUUCAGCCUAGCCGGAUCACUGGCGCUCCUCGCGCUCCAACGUACUCGCUAUUCAUGCCGGGCAAUGUAAAUAUUUAUAAAAGCCAGCGAACUGCCUCAUGAUGAAGCAAAAAAUAAAAAAUAAAAAAAAGACCGAACAAAAAACUCUACAACAACAACAACGCGACCACAUUUUUUACAUAAACAGCAAAGCAAAAACCACAUAGUUGUUGUUGCUAUGCAUUGUUGAAAGGUCAGGUGCUGAUAAGUCGUGAACACUGAAAAUAACAAGACGAGAAACAACAACAACAACACCAGUAGCAGUGCCGACAAGCUAGCAAUUCAACAGCGAUCGCGUCAAAUGUAUGAAUGUUUACAACAACAAUAGCGUCAACAGCAGUGCCAUACAAAUAGCGAGCGCUAGCGCUACUUUUGCAUUCAUUCAACCGUUGAAUUCGUAAACACACAUACGUGCGCUCAUACAUACUUGUACAUAUGUGCGCUACGCCGCGAUCAGUUAAAUGGGUAGCAGUGCGGUGUGGCGCGCUGUCCAGCGUCGUCAAGGGGCAAAGCCAAUCGCAGCGGCAAGGCAGAUACAGGCGCGUGACGCGUUGUGGUGUGGCAAGGCUUGGAGAUUUGUUUGGGUAAACACGUACGCUGACGGGACGCGGCGUCGCUGUUUCGGUGAACAUCUUUAAAUUUGAGGUAGAGUUCCAUGUUAAGGAUAAAGUUAUGAAGAACCCCCGUAGCAACAUCUUUUAUUCUAUGUCAAAUUCACUCUCAAAAGUCAUAGAAAACUAUUGUCAGUGUAAGUGCAGAUCCUGCGACCUCUGCAGCUUAUAUAGAUACAUACUCUUUAUUCGAACAGAGAUAUUAAAAUAUAAUUACCUUUUACGUUUACCUUAUUUUUAUUUAGUAGAAACCAGGAUUGCAAAUAUUGCUUUAAAACAAUUAUUAAACUAACAGUUUAAAAUUUUUUUUUUUGUAAUCCCAAACUAAAGUUUUUUUUUGUAAAACCCAAUGUCCCAAAUACGGAGUUAGAAUAUUUUUAUUUAUUUUGUAAUUCCAAAUAUGGGAAACGCGAAAGUUUUUCUAAAUUCAAUACUACCGUACUUCACAAGAACUACAACUUUUAUUAUUUAAUAUCUAUGAAAUCACCAAAAUGGUAUCCUUUAGAUCCACUGAUACAAAGCCCAUAAUUUGGGUAUAGCGCUCAGAUUACUAUUGUUUGCGGUAGAAGUGGUAUUCAUUCAAGUCUUUGAAAACUCAGUAAGGUUGUUUUUAUAUUUUGCAAAACUACGUUUUUUGUGACAUAAAAUAUUUUAAGCUUAACUACUAAUUUCAACCGUUGAUGCUACAAUCGCGUUUGUUUUAAUAAAUAUUUUGCAUGAAUUAAAACGAAAAGCAGUUGUUUAAACUUAGCGCUUCACACUCGUAAAGCGUCGAGCUAAAAGCUUUUGGGUUCGUUUGAUCUCUACUUGAAUAUUAAAUAUUUCACAAUGUUAUAAAAUCAUAACAAAAGAAAAAAUAAAAUAUUUAUUAAAAAAAUAUAUGCCGUACACGAUUCAUACGCUAAAAGUUGCUAAUCAUUCUAUUUGGCGUGUUAGGCACACGCUAAGCCGAGCGUGUAGUCAGCUCGAAACAUACAAAAGCUGGUCAUAACAGAAUUGCUCUCAUACAUAAAGUUAUGUUUAGUAACAAUAAGAAAAUACCUUUCGAAAAAAUAUCCUCAUACUUUAUUAAUAUUUUAUGCAAGAGGUCCUUUAAUAUUGUAUAUUUUCAUGUAACGCCUGGCGUACGACCUAGUUCAAGCUAAGCUUCCUUGUUUUUUAUUGAACAUAAUAUAAAUUCUAGUGAAAAUUAUAUUUUUGUUAAUAAAAAUAAAUGCGUAUUCUUUUCGGCGUUACUUAUUUUCUUAAUCGGUUUUCUGUUAUUAAAUUACCGUUAACUUGACCGCUACUAUCUCUUUAGAAAGGGGAGUAGGAAUAUGCUGUUUCUUCCGAGAAUAGUCUAUAGAUUAUAUAUGGUAACAAAGUUGCUGUACAUUUUCAAAAUAUCCUGCUUAUGCUAUAAGCACCGCAAAAGUAAUAAAAAAUAUUUAGAAAUAUUUUUGAAAUACUUAAAAUUAAAAAAUAAAUUGUAAAAGGUCUACAGCUUAGUAGUUCGUAGACCUUGAGUUACCUUAGUACUACAAAUACAAAAAUGAAUUGUAAAUUGUUGGUUACUUGCUGAUGAGUUCUGUAUGAAGUAGAACGCUCUAAACAUAUCUUUAGGCUAAAAGCAUAGUGGAAAAUAGAGCAGUGUUGCAGAGAGAUUAAAAUAGUAAAAGAUUUCAUAUAUCUGCAUAUUCAUUGAGUUCCCGCUGCUUAGCCUUUGCAAAAGUAUUUUUUUUAUUAUAGCUCAAAAUUCAAUUUUUGAAAUAUGAAAAUAUAUAUAUAUAUAUAUUAAUAUAGUAUUAAGCCCUUAAUAUCUUCUUACAAAAAUGUACAAAGUAUAAAAACAUAAGUUGAAAUGAAUAAAUACAUUUUUUUAAGCUGAAUAAAAAAUUU